UUUUUUUUUUGGAAAAUAUUGAUAAACUCAUUUAGGUUGGCCUCAUACUUAUAGAUGAGGCCUGCAGAAGUUUAGCUAGAAAUAUUUUUUUCAUAACUUGCUGUUAUUCGAGAAUAAUUUGCCUCUUAUUUUAUAUCCUCUGAAGACAAAUAACAUAUGUAUAUAAAAGCAGCAAAAAUGGCCUUUGCAAUAAAAACUUUUGGGGAAUAAAUGUCCAUAAGCUAAAAUACUUUUUAAAGUCUUUUAACGCUUAUUGUAUAAAGAUCCUUCUCAUUGGGAAGCUAGUCCAUAUUUUUUUGGGAGGGAAGAGGGCAAGGGGAGAUCAAAACAAAAAAAACUUGAAUGUGUCCACAAAAAUGUAUCCAUAAAUAAAGUAACUAAUAAGUGAAAAAAUAAAAAUGCUUGCAAAGCUUAAAAUAUAUCGGCAGCCCUUUUUUAAACAAUCAUGCAAAUAUUGUUUAAUAUCUGGAAAAAUUGUUUAAGAUCUAGAAUACUACUGGAACCUGGUAUGCAUUGUCAGGAAAUGCUUUAAGCCAGUUAUGUAUUUUGCUAUAAGAUGAAUAUGAAUGUUAAUUAAAUAGAUGGAAUAAUCUUCAUUAGCUACAAGAAAAAGGCUGAUUUAACCAAGAAGCUGCUCUGAUCAGUGCUAAUCAGCAAUUAUAGAAUAAUAUAGAAUAAGAUGAUAUAUUUUGCAAAGUUCAGUGGAGAAAUUACUUGUGAACUAGUGGUUUUAAUAAUGUUACUAAUAUUGGGUUAUAGUUUUUAAGAAACCAUUUAGCCAUGUUCUGUAUUCUUGGGACAGCAUUGCAUCACACAGGUGAUUCUUAACCAGCUACAAAAUCUUCCUUUGUAGAGACCAGUUCCUAAUGCAUCACCUUUGUGUAUUGCUUUCCCUUGUCUCUGAUGCAGAUGUGCUGAUAAAAACUUCAGAAACAUUGCUUUGUUCCCCACAGCCUGAUUAGAGUUGACCAAGUAGAUUUUCUCAGAGUUUCUCUAGAAUCAAAUCUGUCCUUAGCAGCCUAAGCAUUAAGAAAAUGCACAAGUGGUUAAGAGACAACCUUCCAGCUCUUUCUUCAUCACAGCUGCACUAUGUACAGAAGGGGCAACACAGAAAAUUUAGCCUAAAGUCAAGUUUCCCCAGAAUGUAAAAAUUCUGUGAAGUUUCUAUAAACUUACGAAAACUUAUGUUUGAAAAAAUAUGCUUGAAAUUCUCUUUCCUUCAGUGAGGAAAGUAAACUUCUUUCAAAAUUCAUCUUCAAUUCCUAGUCUUGCAUAAAAGCUGCUCCAGGAUUUUGAUAGCAGGCACCACUAGGAAUAGUUCAAUUUCAGUGGUGCUCCUUGAAUAUACAUAACAUUUAUUCAUUUUGGAUUAAAUGUUUACCCAAUGUUCUAUUACUUCUAAGGCUGUGAGGUGGAAUUAAUUAUGCUCUUUUGUGGGUUAUGCUGAGUUAUGCUAGAAUGUUAGUUACUACUGUAAGCUCUUGGCAGAGAAAAGGCAGAAGUAGCAAAUAAAUCCUUGUAUAUCUAAAUAAUUUGUUUAUGGGCUUAAUGAAAAUUAUGAACAUGAGAGUUGCAGUAGGGCAGCUGAAUGGAAUGAGGAUAGGACAGUAGAAUUUGCAU
ensembl:lncRNA